UUUUUUUUCCUUCUGGUUGGUUUUGCGGCGGUCCACCAGUCUCUGAGCCUGAGUAAUGUCGAGUUCUAUGAAAAGUUAAAGCCGUAUUUGGAACUUGACGUUGCUGAAGAAGAGUUAGAGACCAUGGCAAACGACGGAAGUGAUGUCAUCCUGUUGCCUGGAGGCCCGGACGACUUGCUCGAUAUCGCCUUCCUUCUCAAAGAGCUCGGUUUCACCCCUGGAAACGCAUCAGAGUCUGCCGUAGACCCGGAAAUAGCCAGUCUUCUCGAU